AUUACAGGCUACCUGCUUGCUGCUGGUCUGGGAUGUGGCUGCUUAAAGAAUGAAAUCUCAUGACAUGCAGUGGUUAUACCCAGGUGCUGGUGUGAAUGGUCACUCUCCUGCCUGGCUGGAAGGUCCCUGGAGGGGGAUUUGUGGCAGCAGAAUUCUCCCAUUCUCUGGGUGCUGAGGAUACGGAUGUUACUGUAGAAGGAUGCUGUGGAUUGACAAGUCAGCCAGAGGGAUACACCAGAAACAAACUAAAGAAAAGUUACAUCUUUCUUUUGUAUUCUUACCUGAU